ensembl:snoRNA
AGGCCAACCAAUUAAUCUUCUUGUCUGAAUGUGCUUCUGCAGAAAUUUAGAAAUAUCUGGCAAUACUGAUGCCAUUUCAUGAGCCUAAAGGGCAACAGGUCAUUAUAGUCCUUGAAAAUGGCUACAAUA